CCUACGGGAGGCUGCAGUGGGGAAUAUUGGACAAUGGGGGCAACCCUGAUCCAGCCAUGCCGCGUGUGUGAAGAAGGCCCUCGGGUUGUAAAGCACUUUCAGUGAGGAAGAACGCCUGGUGGUUAAUACCCAUCAGGAAAGACAUCACUCACAGAAGAAGCACCGGCUAACUCCGUGCCAGCAGCCGCGGUAAUACGGAGGGUGCGAGCGUUAAUCGGAAUUACUGGGCGUAAAGCGCGCGUAGGUGGCUUGAUAAGCCGGUUGUGAAAGCCCCGGGCUCAACCUGGGAACGGCAUCCGGAACUGUCAAGCUAGAGUGCAGGAGAGGAAGGUAGAAUUCCCGGUGUAGCGGUGAAAUGCGUAGAGAUCGGGAGGAAUACCAGUGGCGAAGGCGGCCUUCUGGACUGACACUGACACUGAGGUGCGAAAGCGUGGGUAGCAAACAGGAUUAGAUACCCGGUAGUC
rnacentral:rRNA from 1 species